rnacentral:rRNA from 1 species
GACGAACGCUGGCGGCGUGCCUAAUACAUGCAAGUCGAACGAGAGCGACCGGUGCUUGCACUGGUCAAUCUAGUGGCGAACGGGUGAGUAACACGUGGGUAACCUGCCCAUCAGAGGGGGAUAACAUCCGGAAACGGAUGCUAAAACCGCAUAGGUUCUUUAGUCGCAUGACUGAAGAAGGAAAAGAGGCUUCGGCUUCUGCUGAUGGAUGGACCCGCGGUGCAUUAGCUAGUUGGUGAGGUAACGGCUCACCAAGGCGAUGAUGCAUAGCCGACCUGAGAGGGUGAUCGGCCACAUUGGGACUGAGACACGGCCCAAACUCCUACGGGAGGCAGCAGUAGGGAAUCUUCCGCAAUGGACGCAAGUCUGACGGAGCAACGCCGCAUGAGUGAAGAAGGAUUUCGGUUCGUAAAACUCUGUUGUUAGAGAAGAACAGCGCAUAGAGUAACUGUUAUGCGUGUGACGGAUCUAACCAGAAGCC